UAGGGAAUUUUCCACAAUGGGGGCAACCCUGAUGGAGCAACGCCGCGUGCAGGAUGAAUGCCUUCGGGUUGUAAACUGCUUUUAUAUGCGACGAUUAUGACGGUAGCAUAUGAAUAAGGAUCGGCUAACUCCGUGCCAGCAGCCGCGGUCAUACGGAGGAUCCAAGCGUUAUCCGGAAUUACUGGGCGUAAAGAGUUGCGUAGGCGGCCGUGUAAGUUGGUAGUGAAAGCGUGGGGCUCAACCUCAUAAACAUUACCAAAACUGCACUGGCUAGAGCAUGGGAGAGGUAGCUGGAAUUACUAGUGUAGGAGUGAAAUCCGUAGAUAUUAGUAGGAACACCGAUGGCGUAGGCAGGCUACUGGCCCAUUGCUGACGCUCAGGCACGAAAGCGUGGGGAGCGACCGGG
rnacentral:rRNA from 1 species